GGGGACAUUUUCUGCAGAAGUCCACGAGCCCAGCCCUGGAGAGCAUGCGUUCUGUGGUCAAACCAGCCAGUAUUGAACGUUUUGCAUUUAACAUGGCUAGAAAACGCUUAUUUGCAUGCACAUUUCCGAGACAGUAUUACGAUACCUGACAUAAAUGUGCAUACAAAUAGUUUUCUUUUUCUAAUGCAUCAUGGUGCAUGUUGGAACUGCGUGACUAGGCCGCGUCUGCCUGGACAUGUCGAAGGCCGGCCGUAAGGGUUCAUAGCAGGUUUUGGAAGGGCUUGCAUAUCCCCACGUGGACCGAAUGGAGACCGGCUAAGGCCUAACGAGACGGAAAUGGAUGUUAGUGUGGCUGGAUCCCUGCAUGAGCAACAUGGAAUCUGAUUGAUCAACAAAUAGAAAAGUUACUGUCAAUUAAAAGGAAAUGGAUGUUGGUGUGGCUGGAUCCCUGCAUGAGCAACAUGGAAUCUGAUUGAUCUACAAAUGGACAAGUUGCUGUCAAUUAUAAGGGCCGCUCGUAAAGGUUCGUGGCAGGUUUUCGAAGUGCUUGCAUAUCCCCACGUGGACUGAAUGGAGACCGGCUAAGGCCUAACAAGACUAUCAUGGUUCACUCAGACAUUUUAUAUUUACAGGAAAUGGAUGUUGGUGUGGCUGGAUCCCUGCAUGAGCAACAUGGAAUCUGAUUGAUCUACAAAUGGACAAGUUACUGUCAAUUACAAGGGCCGCUCGUAAAGGUUCGUGGCAGGUUUUCGAAGUGCUUGCAUAUCCCCACGUGGACUGAAUGGAGACCGGCUAAGGCCUAACAAGACUAUCAUGGAAAUGGAUGUUGGUGUGGCUGGAUCCCUGCAUGAGCAACAUGCAAUCUGAUUGACGAUCAACAAAUGGACAAGAUGCUUACAAGGUGACACCAGGACUCGUAAAUCAACAUGUUCGUGGGUUUCUAAUGCGUGCAUUCCUGAGCCAUUAGAAAAUGCAUAUGUCUUGUGAAUAAAGCAAUUGUAAAAAACAGAAUUUUUUUCUUUCUUUAAAUUCACCAUGCACACUUUCCUUAACACCUGAAUGGCUUUUUCCUUAGCCAUUCACUAAGGAUAAGAGAAGUGCGAGAGUAAAUGAAGUCUUGUUAUAACUGGGGUUACUUGGCAAUUUUCCCAAGUCUCUCCUUUUAAGCAAGACACAGAGUCUAAA